CAUUUCACAUUUUCAGACACCUCGCUUCUCUUCUGAUUCCGUCGGCCGGCGCCGCUGACAAUUGCCGACCGGAAUAGUACUAAUUCAAGACAAUCAUGGUUCACGUCUCAUGCUACUGUCGAGGUUUUCGCUCUAUGAUUAAAAGUUCAACUGCGGCAAAUCAUUUUCGGAGGUUAUCAACCAAAGCCGGUGGCGGUAGAGAUGAAUGGAACGACGCGUGGGAAACAGCAUGGCUUCCUGAAGAUUUAUCAGCAAAAAACCGAGCACCAUGGGAAACGGAUGUAAAUUUCUCUAUUUCUGAUACGCCGGAAGCUUUGGAUCCGGAAAUAAAGGCGUUUAAGGAAGAUAUGGAUGAUAAUUGGGAGCAGAGAAGAAAAAAAGGUAAGAGAGAGGAAGAAAAACAAAGACUUAUGAAGUUGAAAGAAGAAGGGAAGUCGUUGUAUAGUUUGGAGAAUGUGAAAAAGGAUUAUCGGGUUCAGAAACAAAGGGUGCAUGCGGGUUUAUGGGCUAAAGAGAUCGAAAAGAUGGAAGAGGCUAAAUUGGGUGAUUCUGUUACUGGUGAUGAUCUUGACCGGUUUCUUGACACCGCUUCCGAGAUUUUUGAGUCUGGAAGCAGUGACUUGAAUAACUCGAAAACAAAAGAUUCUUGGGAUUUGAAAAAUAAGCCUGAUGGGUGGGAAACAACAUCCAAGGGUCCAGAUGGGAACAUUUGGGAAAUGUCCCAACGAGAAGAGGAUAUUCUUCAACAAGAGUAUGAACGUCGAAUUGCCUUCAGUAAAUUCCAGAUAGCGAGCUUUAUCAAGCAACAUAUAUUUAGUCGGAGGAGACCGAUUGAUGGAUGGAAGUACAUGAUUGAAGAAUUGGGACCGAAUGCAAGAAGAGGUAAUAAGGGGAGUGUUUCAAGAACUCCUACUCUUGCCGAUCCAGCCACUCAACCGUUUCAUGAGGACAAGAUACCAGUUGCCAACAGAAACACAAAAAGAUGAUGAAUAGAGAUUUCUUGUUAUUUCUACAUACUUAUGAUAUCUCUCAAAAGGUUCAAAACGCCAGUUGUUCGAAAUGGAGCUAUUCAAUAACCAAAACUUCAAGUGUAUUAUAAUAAGCUCUUGAUCUCAAGGAUCAAGAUCCUCCGGUGGGCUAUCGACUGGUGUUAAUGGUAAAGCAGUUGGGGAUGAAGCCUGAAGGUGUGUAUCAUCGAUUGAACCAGCGGCUGAAAGCUAGUCAUCAGGUGAUGAACCCGCUCUUGGUUUUUCCCUGUUUGGUAGCAUUGAACCCAGGAUUAAGGAUAUCCAUAGUUGCAGCUGGUGGCCGACAUACAUUGGCAUUAUCAGGUAGUUGUAAUCCCACCCGUAGAUAUGGCACUCAUGAGUUUCGAUAUUCUUAAUGUAUUCUAACUUAACUGAAGUUUCAGAUAUAGGACAGGUAUGUUCUUUCAAAUAAUUGAUUGUGGCCAAGUCACAUCUUUAAUCUUUGCUCAGUUUUUAUACCUUUAAUGUUUUAGAUGAACUUUUCUAAACCGAUCACUCGAAACUUUUGCAAGACUUGGGUUUUUAGGCAUUUUCCUCGCCUAUUUUGACGUGGUUUCUCAUACUGGAUACUGCCAACUUAUCGAAGCAGGAAGCACACUCUUCAUACACCACAGUGCCUCAGGCCAUGUUGACAAUUGAUCCAAAUCGGUGGGAUUUGUACUGGCUGGCUGGCCGAGGCCUUAGAAUAGGGUUACUGCUUGAAAUUCGGUUCUGGAGAGGACCUGUUUACAGGGAUUCUUACGAUGAGGUCCUGGAAUAGGUUUAUUCAUCUGGCUGUUGCUCAUCUUGCCAUACAGACAGAAAUUCCGUUGAAGAUACAUAGCUUGGUUUUAUAUUAGAAGCUAAAAAUACCUUUGCCAAACUGAUUCUUCUGUGAAGUUACGAUGCUGUAUGGAAUCGAGGGAUUACUGUAUUCUAUUUUUUUUUCUUUCAUGAAGUGUCAACAAGGGUCUAUUCCAUUUCCUGGUCUAAACUUAUUCGCUCAUGUUCCCUUUCUCCGUGUAAAACCUAGUUUAAAAUGACAUAUAUUUUCUAUAGGGUU